GUGCCAGCAGCCGCGGUAAUUCCAGCUCCAAUAGCGUAUAUUAAAGUUGUUGUGGUUAAAAAGCUCGUAGUUGAACCUUGGGCCUGGCUGGCCGGUCCGCCUCACCGCGUGCACUGGUCCGGCCGGGCCUUUCCCUCUGUGGAACCCCAUACCCUUCACUGGGCGUGGCGGGGAAACAGGACAUCUACUUUGAAAAAAUUAGAGUGCUCCAGGCAGGCCUAUGCUCGAAUACAUUAGCAUGGAAUAAUAAAAUAGGACGCGCGGUUCUAUUUUGUUGGUUUAUAGGACCGCCGUAAUGAUUAAUAGGGACAGUCGGGGGCAUCAGUAUUCAACUGUCAGAGGUGAAAUUCUUGGAUCAGUUGAAGACUAACUACUGCGAAAGCAUUUGCCAAGGAUGUUUUCAUUAAUCAGGAACGAAAGUUAGGGGAUCGAAGACGAUCAGAUACCGUCGUAGUCUUAACCAUAAACUAUGCCGACUAGGGAUCGGACGGUGUUAUUCAUGACCCGUUCGGCACCUUACGAGAAAUCAAAGUGCUUGGGCUCCAGGGGGAGUAUGGUCGCAAGGCUGAAACUUAAAGAAAUUGACGGAAGGGCACCACCAGGGGUGGAGCCUGCGGCUUAAUUUGACUCAACACGGGGAAACUCACCAGGUCCAGACACAAUAAGGAUUGACAGAUUGAGAGCUCUUUCUUGAUUUUGUGGGUGGUGAUGCAUGGCCGUUCUUAGUUGGUGGGGUGACUUGUCUGCUUAAUUGCGAUAACGAACGAGACCUUAAACUUG
rnacentral:rRNA from 1 species